GGGGAUCUCAUCUCUUCAACCCAUCUAUUCUUAAGGUGGAGCUCUAUGCCACUUGGGCAGGCAUCAUCUGCAUGAGAUAUGAGCUGCGAGCUGAGAGAAUCUUCAUCGAGAAUGACUCGACCAUAGUCAUCAGCUAGAUUCGGGAUGAGGUGAAGCAUCUGGAGAUCCAUCCACUGCUCCUCAAUAUUUAGAAGUCCCUUCAUCACACCACCACAUCAUCUAUCUGACACAUAUUCUAGAAGGCGAACGG
rnacentral:lncRNA from 1 species